GGAGAGAUGGCUGAGUGGUUUAAGGCGACAGUCUUGAAAACUGUUGUGGAUGCAAGUCUACCGUGGGUUCGAAUCCCACUCUCUCCGCCA
rnacentral:tRNA from 1 species